rnacentral:rRNA from 1 species
UACGUAGGGUGCGAGCGUUAAUCGGAAUUACUGGGCGUAAAGCGUGCGCAGGCGGUUUUGUAAGCCAGAUGUGAAAGCCCCGGGCUUAACCUGGGAAUGGCAUUUGGGACUGCAAGGCUUGAGUGCGGCAGAGGAGACUGGAAUUCCUGGUGUAGCAGUGAAAUGCGUAGAGAUCCGGAGGAACACCGAAGGCGAAGGCAGUGUCCUGGGGAGUACCUGACGCUCAGGUGCGAAAGCUAGGGGAGCGAACGGG